AGUGAACGCUGGCGGUAGGCCUAACACAUGCAAGUCGAACGGCAGCACAGUAAGAGCUUGCUCUUACGGGUGGCGAGUGGCGGACGGGUGAGGAAUACAUCGGAAUCUACUUUUUCGUGGGGGAUAACGUAGGGAAACUUACGCUAAUACCGCAUACGACCUACGGGUGAAAGCAGGGGAUCUUCGGACCUUGCGCGAUUGAAUGAGCCGAUGUCGGAUUGGCUAGUUGGCGGGGUAAAGGCCCACCAAGGCGACGAUCCGUAGCUGGUAUGAGAGAAUGAUCAGCCACACUGGACCUGAGACACGGUCCAGACGCCGACGACAGGCAGCAGUCGGGAAUAUUGGACAAUGCGCGCAAGCCUGAUCCAGCCAUACCGCGCGGGUGACGAAGGCCUUCGGGCUGUAAAGCCCUGUUGUUGGGAAAGAAAAGCAGCAGGUUAAGACCCCGCUGUUCUGACGGUACCCAAAGAAUAAGCACCGGCGAACUUCGUG
rnacentral:rRNA from 1 species